UCCACUUCUUCCCCUCUUUGUCAAGAACCCUAAAUCCCCUUCAUCUUUAAUUAGUCACAAUUUAUGGCCAAGAUAUGGAAUUUCGAACAAAAUUAAAUCCUUGUAUCUGAAUCAAGGCCUUAUUCUUCUAUAUAAGCUUUUGGUUUAUCUGAUUUUAGGGAUUAUUUUGAAUGGUUCGAAAUUUUUUCUUAUUUUAGGGAUUUUCUGUGAUUUUUCUGUGUCGCACAUAAUGCAGUCAACUAACUUGGCUAGACUUUAUAUAGAAGAUGAUGAUCAUGUGUUGAAUAAAGAAGUACGAUACAAUCAUGAGUACGGGCUGGCGAUGUUGACAACUUGGACUCCUAAGAGCCCCGGUAAAAGAUAUUGGAUGUGUCUAUACUAUGGGGUCCAAGCUCUUAUGAUUUCUGGCAUUGGAGAGAUGCUGAAAUUAAUCCAAGAUCGAAAUAUGUUAUUUCUAAACUGGUAGAGAAAUUUGGUGAGCUUAAAAGUGCAUUUAAAGUUUUUCAAACUGUUGAGAAGCCUAGGAAAAAAACAAGUGGAAAAGAAGAUAGAGAUGCAAUUGGAGAAGUUGGAGGGAGAGGUUGAGAAGAUAAAAGAAGAAGAAGUAGAGAAGGAGAUUGAUUAUGUCCGGGAUUAGGGAAAAAGUACUUUGGCUUUUUGUAUUGUGUGAAUGUGUUAUAGCUAUAAGCUAUUGGUUUCAUCUACUAUAUAUGAAGAAUAAUGCAAUGAAGUUGCCUUAGGCUUUGUUGUGGCUAUAGUAUCUUUAGUAUUGCAUCAUUUAAUUGUAUCAUCUUUUGUAAAAAACUUGGUGUAACUUUUAUUGUAAUAUAAUGUUCAUUGUUCGUUUAGUUU